ACAAUUUCACAGCUUUUCAAGUGAAUAGAAAGAGCAGACCCCGCCCACCCGGACAGAAAGAUCAGCAUGAUAGAGACAACAUCCACUGUCUUCCAGUUGUCUGGCAUCUUACCAGUUUUCUGAGAUUUCUUAAGAUAGUACAUACAGCUUCUGCCAGAUCAUCUGCAAAUUCCCACUCUAAUAUGUUGCUGUUGCUUUAAGGGCAACUCCCAAGAACAACUCUCAAAUCAAAUAAGUUAUGUAUAAAAAUGGAAAAAAGUUCACAGCUUGUUGUUCAUCUUUGAAUGUUGCCUGUGUUUAGUGACAAUAAAAAAUCCCCUGAUAACCAGUGGAUGUAUAUUACUUAUAGAUAGAAUGUGAGAUUUAAACUCAUUAAGAAUAAAUGAAUAUUCCC